rnacentral:snoRNA from 1 species
CACCUCUCAGGGUCGCACCUGAAGCGUUUCCAAUACUCUACCAGUCUCAACUACGGGAGGGAGAGUCAAGCAGAGGCCUGUCAAUUCCAUUCCUAGCUUGGGCAGUGGCUAGCGAGUGGAAGGCAAUCUGCUGUAAGU